rnacentral:rRNA from 1 species
CACGUAGGGACCGAGCGUUGUUCGGAUUCAUUGGGCGUAAAGAGCUCGUAGGCGGUCGGGUAAGUCGGGUGUGAAAUCUCCGGGCUCAACUCGGAGGGGCCACCCGAUACUGCACGACUCGAGUCCGGUAGGGGAGUGGGGAAUUCCUGGUGUAGCGGUGAAAUGCGCAGAUAUCAGGAGGAACACCGGUGGCGAAGGCGCCACUCUGGGCCGGUACUGACGCUGAGGAGCGAAAGCGUGGGUAGCAAACAGG